rnacentral:tRNA from 2 species
AAUAGAAUGACUGAAUUUAGGUGAUAAACUGUAAAUUUAUUUAUGAAAUAAUUAUUUCUUCUAUUA